rnacentral:rRNA from 1 species
UACGUAGGGGGCUAGCGUUGUCCGGAUUUAUUGGGCGUAAAGAGCGUGUAGGCGGCCAGGUAGGUCUGCUGUGAAAGUCCAGGGCUCAACCCUGGAAGGCCGGUGGAAACUGUCGGGCUAGAGUCCGGAAGAGGCGAGUGGAAUUCCUGGUGUAGCGGUGGAAUGCGCAGAUAUCAGGAGGAACACCAAUAGCGAAGGCAGCUCGCUGGGACGGUACUGACGCUAAGGCGCGAAAGCGUGGGAGCGAACAGG